CCCGCAUUGGAAUAUGCAGCGCCAGUCUUCCAUCACUCUCUACCACAGUAUCUGGCAGAUGAUUUAGAACGUGUCCAGCAAAGAUCAUUGGGAAUUAUAUUUAAAUGCGAAAAGUAUAAUAAAUGCUUAGAGUAUUCUGGGCAAGAAACUUUAGUCAAUCGAAGGCAAAUGUUAUGUUUGAAGCUGUUUGAUUCGAUAACAUCAAACUCAGAUCACAAACUUUAUAAACUUUUACCCCCAAAGAAGAAGCAGACAUAUAAUCUGAGACACAAACGUUCCUUUAGUUCUCUUUUAGCACGCACUAAGCGUUUCAAGAACACUUUUA